rnacentral:rRNA from 1 species
AGAGUUUGAUCAUGGCUCAGGAUGAACGCUAGCUACAGGCUUAACACAUGCAAGUCGAGGGGCAGCAUUUUAGUUUGCUUGCAAACUGAAGAUGGCGACCGGCGCACGGGUGAGUAACACGUAUCCAACCUGCCGAUAACUCCGGGAUAGCCUUUCGAAAGAAAGAUUAAUACCGGAUAGUAUACGAAUAUCGCAUGAUAUUUUUAUUAAAGAAUUUCGGUUAUCGAUGGGGAUGCGUUCCAUUAGUUUGUUGGCGGGGUAACGGCCCACCAAGACUACGAUGGAUAGGGGUUCUGAGAGGAAGGUCCCCCACAUUGGAACUGAGACACGGUCCAAACUCCUACGGGAGGCAGCAGUGAGGAAUAUUGGUCAAUGGGCGCGAGCCUGAACCAGCCAAGUAGCGUGAAGGAUGAAGGCUCUAUGGGUCGUAAACUUCUUUUAUAUGGGAAUAAAGUUUUCCACGUGUGGAAUUUUGUAUGUACCAUAUGAAUAAGGAUCGGCUAACUCCGUGCCAGCAGCCGCGGUAAUACGGAGGAUCCGAGCGUUAUCCGGAUUUAUUGGGUUUAAAGGGAGCGUAGGUGGAUUGUUAAGUCAGUUGUGAAAGUUUGCGGCUCAACCGUAAAAUUGCAGUUGAAACUGGCAGUCUUGAGUACAGUAGAGGUGGGCGGAAUUCGUGGUGUAGCGGUGAAAUGCUUAGAUAUCACGAAGAACUCCGAUUGCGAAGGCAGCUCACUAGACUGUCACUGACACUGAUGCUCGAAAGUGUGGGUAUCAAACAGGAUUAGAUACCCUGGUAGCCCACACAGUAAACGAUGAAUACUCGCUGUUUGCGAUAUACAGUAAGCGGCCAAGCGAAAGCAUUAAGUAUUCCACCUGGGGAGUACGCCGGCAACGGUGAAACUCAAAGGAAUUGACGGGGGCCCGCACAAGCGGAGGAACAUGUGGUUUAAUUCGAUGAUACGCGAGGAACCUUACCCGGGCUUAAAUUGCAACAGAAUAUAUUGGAAACAGUAUAGCCGUAAGGCUGUUGUGAAGGUGCUGCAUGGUUGUCGUCAGCUCGUGCCGUGAGGUGUCGGCUUAAGUGCCAUAACGAGCGCAACCCUUAUCUUUAGUUACUAACAGGUUAUGCUGAGGACUCUAGAGAGACUGCCGUCGUAAGAUGUGUGGAAGGUGGGGAUGACGUCAAAUCAGCACGGCCCUUACGUCCGGGGCUACACACGUGUUACAAUGGGGGGUACAGAAGGCGGCUACCUGGUGACAGGAUGCUAAUCCCAAAAACCUCUCUCAGUUCGGAUCGAAGUCUGCAACCCGACUUCGUGAAGCUGGAUUCGCUAGUAAUCGCGCAUCAGCCAUGGCGCGGUGAAUACGUUCCCGGGCCUUGUACACACCGCCCGUCAAGCCAUGAAAGCCGGGGGUACCUGAAGUACGUAACCGCAAGGAGCGUCCUAGGGUAAAACUGGUAAUUGGGGCUAAGUCGUAACAAG